UCUGCAGAAAGAUCGCGAUCACGAUGGAUGCCGCCGGUGGAUCAGCUACGAACCCCGUAGCUGAUAGCGCCGCCGCGAAGACAGCAGUCGCAGCGAUUACAGUAGCUACGGUAACAGAACUAAGCGUAACGAACGCAAUUACGAGUGACGAUCACAAUAGUUCCAGCAAUGGUGAAAGCGGUAGUAGUAUAAACCAUAUCCAGAUGGGACAAAUGAUGCGAGGUAGCUAUUACCUCACUGUGUGCGACGUUGUGGAGUCGAAGAAGGGACACAUCAGUCUGUCGGCUGCACAUAACGCUUCUUUUAUGCAGGUCCGUGUGCCGUUAGAGUUACCGGAACCACUCGAGCCAACGGUUAAAGGCCGGGAUCGCGAGAGCCCUACAGAGAUGUCUUCGUCGUCGGAAAGUGAUGAAGACGAGGUGGUCGCCUUGUGUCGAGAUUUCUAUAGGCGACGUCUCAGUUCCAAAUGGAUUGUUCGUCAAGAAGAUGAGGACCUUACGGAAAGUGAAUCUUCAGAUCAUCCGAGUAACACACUAGCGAAUGUUGGUGCAAGUGUGGCCGCUACAAUGACUGAAAAUGCGAAAAGGGACAGUACGCUAAGCAACAACAGCGUUAAUAAUGUUAAAAGCAGCCAGAUACCAAAUAAAACAGCGGCUACAAACAUGACUGGAGAUUUUCGUAAUACUAGCGCUCUCAUCACCGAAAUGACGGCCGCGGAAAAUGUCACCACAACACAUGUGGAAACGGCCGCACAAGGAGUUGUAGUUAGUGAGACGGCAGGCGAAUCUGAUCAUGACUCUGGCAUUGAGGUGUUAAAUCACGCCUCGAGUAACUCUUCUGUCGAAGACACGGGGCGGGCCACAUCUUGCAAUAACACUAAUGACAUGAUUGAGGAUAACGUGAAUGCAAACUCCAUAAGUAAGGGUGCAUCGAAGCCGCAACCGCAACAUAAUCAAAUGGAUAUUUACUUAUCAAGCACAAGUGCCAUCAGUGGUGCGCCCAUACAGGAUUAUAAUGGUAAUGGCGGUGUGGAUACCCGUGUGGGUCAGGUGGAUAGAAACUCCGAGAAUACAGGGUGCGCAACAGCGAAAGUCAUUCAAUUAUUGUCAAUGGAAAAUCAAAACGAGGAUAAUUCAGUGAUUGUGUGCCCGUUCGAACAGUUACAAGUCCGUCGAUCGAGUCUACUGGACGAGAUAGAGGAAACUACAAUCAAGUUUGCAUCGAAGCUGAAUUUGCUUAAGGCACAAAUUGGCUCGCUAAUGGAGAAGGACAACCAGCUAUUUAGGCAGCUCCUUGAUCUUCAUGACUCGAUAACGGAUCUGCGGAAAUCGCAGAUUAUCUCACCUCCCACGCCAUCGGAUAUUGUAAUUCCUGCUCACUACAGCUACUUUGGUUCGAUAUCUCGUUCGAGCUCGUUCAGUUCAUCGGAAAGCAGUGAUACAACAGUGUCUCCAGCUUCAUCCCCUGCCGGAUCGCCCCUCACUCUGACGCCUUCAGCGACGCCAUCGUCAACCCCAUUGUCGACUCCAUUGUCGACACCUGUUUCACCUUCGGCCAUGUCGACAACUUCCUCCUCGCGAAGCUCGUACUCUGUAAAGCAAAGGUAGCACUGCUAGUGCUCUCCCUUAACCCCUUCCCUGAUUCCUCUAACAAGUUCCCUUGGAAAUAGUGCUGAAAAAUUAGAGAAAACAUAAGAAGCUCCGUUACGCUUUGGAGAUGUGCAUAUCCAGAAAGUCUGUACAGCAAAUACCUGCUAAUGGAAGCUUCAUGAUCUCGAAAGUAUCGUCUGCACAUGCACAGUCGAUACCUCGAAACAUGCAGAUCGUAUGUGAAACCCGUACAGCGGUAUUAAGACGAUAUUUACACCUUUUUAUUUACUGUACACGUAUGCCGAAUGCAUUGCAUACUUCUUUGUUAAAUUGUCGUUACUGUUUUCUUAGCAUAAAGUUGAUGUAUUACAAUUUGAUAAUAUAAUUGCUGUUGUUUAAUAAGGUCUGCAUUUCUUAAAUUGGAGACAACAACUAUAAUUGGUAGCUAUAACAAGCAUUCUUUCUUGUACAUCGUAGAAAAAUUAGCCAGGUCUAGCACUAUCUCCAUUUCGGCGGCACGAUAUUUCAACGAACCUCGCCUGUGCCCGGUGACCCUAUCAUGGCAUGGUUUUGCCUAAUACAGGUUGUUGUUGGCAAGCACGAUCCGGUUUAAUUUAGCAUCCUCCGAGCAGGGUUUAACCCAGAAAUUCAUUCGUUUGAGGUGCCAAAAAACGACUACAUAGUAAAGGUUACAACUGGUACCGUUGCCAAUAGAUGGGUCAUCGUCACAGACAAGGAUGCGUUGAAAUUUUUCGUCUUUCUUCUCCACCCAUCUCUUCUUCCCGUCUGACCCCCCACCCCCAACCUCCGACCCCAAGAACGGUUUCCCACGCAUCAGUCUUCAAAAAUCGCACAGCGAACGAAUUGAAUAGGACGUCCUUUUCUACCCCAGCCUGCCGAUGUAUAGGCGAAGACCACACAGGGCGAAGUGCAGCAGCAGUACAUCCCGGUUUGAUUUUUCCUUUUAUCCUCUGUGUUCCUGUUUUAACUUCCGGGCCGCAUGAGCUAAGUAAACCGCCAAAGAUUCUUGGGUGCCCGGCUUGCCAGCAGUUUGCUAUCUUGACCUUUUAUAAUUUGUUUCAUACAGUUACCUAGCUUAAUCAAAUUAAAGUAGAAUAAAGAGGUUUAAUAAAGCCAGUUAAUUAUCUAGUCCGAUCAAUUAUUAGCUAUCUAUCUAUUAUCCGUAUAUAUUUAAUACACAGAUUUGCAGCUGCUGGAAGCCCGAAAGGUUGAUGGCGGACUCCGUUAACGGAUCUGUGAGUCUCUCUCUAUUUCUGGAAAGAUCUGGGUGUUGCCGGUAUUAUGGAGUAGAUCUGGUUUAUGGUCUGUAACUUAAUAGUCGAUCGUUAGAUUGGGUGGGAAUUUUACAUUUUUCGUGCAGGUAUCGUCUUCUUUCCUAAUACUAGUUUUUAUCACAUGUCCCCUUGUCUUUAACGUCAACCUGUAUCAAUUUUAAGCUGUUCGUCCGCCUAAUUUAUGUCUAAGUUUUUUAUUUAUUUGUUUAUGUUUAAUUCUGAUGUUAACUUUGCAAUAUGUUAUUGUCAGUGUCGUGUUCUACCCGGUAAUUGUUCAAUCGUCAUCUUUGUAGCAUUCGAGAACUUCUCGGUGGCAAUUUUUUGUUGCCUCUCUCCUCGGGAUGAGCUGUGGUAUUUCAUCUUUCUCGUGGCGUCCCCCACGUUCUUCGGUUGUUCUUUUUCUGCCUUUGCAUUCGAUUUUUCAAACAAAUUCUUCACAACAUGUCAUGGUAAUCGCUCUCAGCUGACUGUUUUCAAGGUGGCACACUUUCGAUCAUGAUCGAUGUUUUGGCUUAUUGUUGUCUGCUCGAGAUCCGAAGAUUGUUUGAUGAGUGUGGGCUUCCAGAGUUGGCGGAGUCCUGCAAAACCUUCGGUGAUGGUUGAUUGCGGUUGACACUUACCCAUCUCGUUCUAUUUCUCAUGUGGGUCGGCGGUAAUACAUAUGCGUGGUCUUGACCAUGUCGGUUUUUCGUCGUCAUAGUGGUUGUUGUUCGAUGUCGACAGGGCUUCGGUAGGUGGGAACACUACAUACAGCUAGAUACGCCACUGACCGUCAACACGCCUGUGUGCCCUUCCACUUUCCCUAACAUUCAACAUGAUUAUUAGUACCCUACACAUAACAUGCAUAAAUACUUGCCAUCAAUAACAAGGUUAUAUGAGUUAACAAUAUUUGCGCACACUGGCUGGCAGCUCGCGGACGGCUGAUAGAUAGAUAUAUAUAUAUAUAUAUAUAUAAAAUGUUUCCGUGAACUUUGUCGUACCUUAGAUAGACUUGAUUGGCUGAUUGAUUGAUGUCAACCUGCUGUCGACGCUGUAGCGCCUAUAGCCAACGGCAGAACAAGUGUCGCCAGCUAUCGGGUUCGAGUUUCAGCCGCAAAAAAC